ACACAACCAGGAGGCCGCACACACAGGGC
rnacentral:piRNA from 1 species